rnacentral:rRNA from 1 species
GAUGAACGCUGGCGGCGUGCCUAAUACAUGCAAGUCGAGCGAACAGACGAGGAGCUUGCUCCUCUGACGUUAGCGGCGGACGGGUGAGUAACACGUGGAUAACCUACCUAUAAGACUGGGAUAACUUCGGGAAACCGGAGCUAAUACCGGAUAAUAUAUUGAACCGCAUGGUUCAAUAGUGAAAGACGGUUUUGCUGUCACUUCUAGAUGGAUCCGCGCCGCAUUAGCUAGUUGGUAAGGUAACGGCUUACCAAGGCAACGAUGCGUAGCCGACCUGAGAGGGUGAUCGGACACACUGGAACUGAGACACGGUCCAGACUCCUACGGGAGGCAGCAGUAGGGAAUCUUCCGCAAUGGGCGAAAGCCUGACGGAGCAACGCCGCGUGAGUGAUGAAGGUCUUCGGAUCGUAAAACUCUGUUAUUAGGGAAGAACAAAUGUGUAAGUAACUAUGCACGUCUUGACGGUACCUAAUCAGAAAGCCACGGCUAACUACGUG